rnacentral:rRNA from 1 species
GAACGCUGGCGGCAGGCCUAACACAUGCAAGUCGAGCGGAAACGACACUAACAAUCCUUCGGGUGCGUUAAUGGGCGUCGAGCGGCGGACGGGUGAGUAAUGCCUAAGAAAUUGCCUUGNUGUGGGGGAUAACCAUUGGAAACCAUGGCUAAUACCGCAUGAUGCCUACGGGCCAAAGAGGGGGACCUUCGGGCCUCUCGCGUCAAGAUAUGCCUAGGUGGGAUUAGCUAGUUGGUGAGGUAAUGGCUCACCAAGGCGACGAUCCCUAGCUGGUCUGAGAGGAUGAUCAGCCACACUGGAACUGAGACACGGUCCANACUCCUACGGGAGGCAGCAGUGGGGAAUAUUGCACAAUGGGCGAAAGCCUGAUGCAGCCAUGCCGCGUGUAUGAAGAAGGCCUUCGGGUUGUAAAGUACUUUCAGUUGUGAGGAAGGGUGUGUAGUUAAUAGCUGCGCAUCUUGACGUUAGCAACAGAAGAAGCACCGGCUAACUCCGUGCCAGCAGCCGCGGUAAUACGGAGGGUGCGAGCGUUAAUCGGAAUUACUGGGCGUAAAGCGCAUGCAGGUGGUUCAUUAAGUCANAUGUGAAAGCCCGGGGCUCAACCUCGGAACUGCAUUUGAAACUGGUGAACUAGAGUUNCUGUAGANGGGGGUAGAAAUUUCAGGUGUANCCGGUG